AGCUGAAGCGACAACAGUCUGACUGGAACCUAGCUCUGACAAUCAGCUGUGAGGAUGUGAUCGGGUAACUUAGCUUCACUGAAACAUAAGUUUCUCUCUUAGAAAAAGGGACAAAGACAUUACAACCAUUUGAGAAGUGAAUUGUAAGAGUGAGCUUUAUAAAACACGAGAGCUAUGCAAUCGAAACAUCAGUGGCGUUGUUAUCCUGCUGUCCCGGUGUCUGAGGGGCAGCUGGAGAUGCCUGGCUUCAGGAACCCCGCGGCCACGCUGUCCUCAGCAAGCUUCAGUUCCCGGCCUCUCAGGACCUGCUGUUUAUCUUGGUCUUCCUUUGCACUGGAGCAGUAUGUGUUUUCCCAGGAGGAGGAAAGAAAGGUUCCAUGUGACUGUUGCAGCCUGUUAUUAUGAGCAAUGGAGGGCUAUAGCUUUAACUAUACUUUCGGACACUUGCCUUUGUCAAUGAGGGCAAAGGCCAAGCAAUGUUAACCCAAAAGUCUGUGACGACAAGGAAAGGCUCUAGCAUGUUUGAAGAAGCUGUGACUUCUCUGUUCUGGGUGGCCUUGGAUUUGGUCAUCUUCAAGUUCAGACAGCCUUGUACAUCCUGCAUAUGGAUGAAGACCCAAAAAGGUUUUUGGAGAUCUGUUUGGAUGGGAUGGAGAAAGCUGUUGCUCUAAUGUUUGAAGCAGACGUCCUCGCCAUGUACAGGCGUGUGCUGUGCACAGACGGGAGCUUGUACAAGCAAGUGACAUUUACCAGCAGGAGCUUGUCUGGACAGCUAUUCACACAAUGUUAUGGACUAAAUGUUUGUGUCUUCCCGGGAAAUUCGUAUGUUGGAGCCCUCGCUUCCACUGGAAUGGUAUUAGGAGGUGGAGCCUUGGAAGGUAAUUAGAUUUAGAUCAGCUCAUGAGGACUGUGCCCCCAUGAUGGGGUUAGUGCCCUUAUAUGAAGAAAAGACAACACUGUCUUCUCUUUCCUCAUGCACAUGAAGAGCAGGCCCUGUGAGCACAUAGUGAGAUGACAGGACGCCUGCAAACCAAGAGCAGUGGGCACCUUGAUCUUGGACUUGCAGCCUCCAGGACCGAGAGAAAUAAACUGCUAUUGUUUAAGCCACCCAGUGUGUGGUAUUUUGUUACGGCAGCUAGAGCUAAGAUACAGAAGCGGAAAGUUUAGUCAUGUAAGUCUCUUCCCCUGAUUUUAAGUCCAGAUUCUGAGACUCAGACUUUCUGAGCCGUCCCUGGAAAAUCUGGUAUAAAAACUGUUCAGGCACUAAAAAAUAUGAAAACUGCCUCUGAAGAUAUUGCUAAAGCUCUCCUCUCCCCUAAAUUACCUCUGUGAGUUUACCCUCCUGGAAGAACUUCCUGAAAACUAGUGGCUAAGUGCUCAAAUGGGAAGGGGGAUGGCUGAGGGGUAAAAAACAGUUGCUAAUUGCAUCUGUUGUUCAUAGUUCUAUAUGUCUUUUACCUACCCACACUGAUACGCGAUAUGUAAUAAAGAAGCUCC
rnacentral:lncRNA from 1 species